ACUCCCUGGCAAUGGGCAAAGAGACACCUGGUUUGUGCUGUUGUUCUUAUAUCAGUCAGGGACAGAGCAGAUGGCAGUCCUUUGUUCAUCCUAGCUUGAUGCCUGGUUUCGUGGCCAAAGCUGUUUCAUGCCUAGGGCACAUGA
ensembl:snoRNA LOC120101258 small nucleolar RNA SNORA48